CCUUAGUGGCUUCUCUACCGAUGCGUACUUCUUAAAGUACUGACAGUCAAUUUGAAUCUCCUUCAGCUGGCUUUCCUUCCUGCCCCUCCCCUCAUACAGAAACACAUCUUGCUAGAGGUGGAGCAACUUCUCCCAACUAAGCAGCACAGCAGGAGGACUAAGAGUUGAAUGCUCACGAGGAUUCACUCACUCUUUGCCUUGCACAAAGGUAUAUACACUGAGCCAGAUGUGGGCUGCUAAGCUGCUGCUUUCCCUUGACUGACCUUAAAGGAGUUUUGGCAUUAAACUGCUGAAUGGCACCCAGUGUUUGCUGUCAAGACAGUCCAUCAGAAAGUGAUUGCUCAAGCCCCCAAAUCCGAGAGACACAGUAAUGAGGAUGAAGAGGAAGCCAGAGGCUACCGAUUUAAGAGAAAGUGAUCAGUAUUGUCUUUGGCAUUUGUUUGUGGAUAUUAGGCUGAAGCAGCAAGCUUUUAAUUGUGUUUACACUGAAAUUAUAGUAGGGAACAUUUCAACCCCUCUCAGGUUAAGGUUAUAUCUCAUCUAAUUUUGAGGAAUUGAG